rnacentral:rRNA from 1 species
AUGUAGCUUGCUACAGGCGUCGAGCGGCGGACGGGUGAGUAACGCGUAGGAACCUACCUAGUAGUUUGGGAUAGCCCAGAGAAAUUUGGAUUAAUACCGAAUACGCCCCACGGGGGAAAGCGGAGGAUCUUCGGACUUCGCGCUAUUAGAUGGGCCUGCGUAAGAUUAGCUUGUUGGUGAGGUAAUGGCUCACCAAGGCAACGAUCUUUAGCUGGUUUGAGAGGAUGAUCAGCCACACUGGGACUGAGACACGGCCCAGACUCCUACGGGAGGCAGCAGUGGGGAAUAUUGCACAAUGGGCGAAAGCCUGAUGCAGCCAUACCGCGUGUGUGAAGAAGGCUCUAGGGUUGUAAAGCACUUUCAGUAGGGAGGAAAGGUUGUAGAUUAAUACUCUGCAGCUGUGACGUUACCUACAGAAGAAGGACCGGCUAACUCCGUGCCAGCAGCCGCGGUAAUACGGAGGGUCCGAGCGUUAAUCGGAAUUACUGGGCGUAAAGCGUACGUAGGUGGUUUGUUAAGUUGGAUGUGAAAGCCC